rnacentral:rRNA from 1 species
AACGAACGCUGGCGGCAUGCCUAAUACAUGCAAGUCGAACGAGAUCUUCGGGUCUAGUGGCGCACGGGUGCGUAACGCGUGGGAAUCUGCCCUUUGCUUCGGAAUAACAGUUAGAAAUGACUGCUAAUACCGGAUGAUGUCUUCGGACCAAAGAUUUAUCGGCAAAGGAUGAGCCCGCGUAGGAUUAGGUAGUUGGUGGGGUAAAGGCCUACCAAGCCGACGAUCCUUAGCUGGUCUGAGAGGAUGAUCAGCCACACUGGGACUGAGACACGGCCCAGACUCCUACGGGAGGCAGCAGUGGGGAAUAUUGGACAAUGGGCGCAAGCCUGAUCCAGCAAUGCCGCGUGAGUGAUGAAGGCCUUCGGGUCGUAAAGCUCUUUACCAGGGAUGAUAAUGACAGUACCUGGAGAAUAAGCUCCGGCUAACUCCGUGCCAGCCGCCGCAGUAAAAC